rnacentral:rRNA from 1 species
AUGAACCCACAAGCAAGCCCUGGCCCUGAUGGUUUCGGCCCCUCUUUCUAUAAAUCCUUUUGGCCCUCUAUCAAGCACGCAAUUCUACCCCUUUUCGCGCAAUUUCACCAAGGUGUGGCAGACACGGAACGCUUAAACCGUGCCCACAUCGCUCUCCUUCCAAAAAAUGCCUCCCCAACGUCACCCAACGCCUUCAGACCAAUAUCCCUACAAAACUGCCCGGUUAAAGCUAUUACUAAAGUCCUAACUUCACACCUCAAACCUAUCAUUCCUCGGCUAGUCCAUGGUAAUCAGACUGGGUUCAUCACCAGCAGGAACAUUGCCAAAAACUACGUCUUUGCAACAGACCUCAUCAGCACUUGCCACUCUCGCAAACGACCAACCAUGAUCUUCAAGCUUGACUUCAGGAAGGCCUUCGAUUCGGUUGCCUGGACCGCCCUGGACAAAAUAUUGGCUAUUUGUGGUUUCUCCCAGACUUUUCGUAAUUGGAUUCAAAAUAUCCUCCACACUGGCAAGACUGCCAUCCUCCUAAAUGGCAUUCCAGGCUAGUGGAUACAAUGCAAGAAUGGCCUGCGGCAGGGCGACCCGGCCUCCCCCUACCUUUUCCUAAUUGUCGCCGAUCUGCUUCAACAGCUUAUCCUCCAGAACUCCGAUCCUGCUCUCCACCACCCCAUCUUUACCCACCUGCCCUCGACCAUUCUCCAAUACGCCGACGAUACGUUGAUCAUCGCAGCCGCCUCUUCCUCCGCCGCUGCCACCCUCAAAAAAAUCCUACAGAACUUUGCACAAGCUACUGGCCUCACCAUCAACUUCUCCAAAACCACCCUGGCAACCCUGCACACAGAUGAAACCCUAGCUGCCAACACUGCUCUCGCCAUGGACUGCACACGCGCCCCUCUCCCUCAAACCUACCUUGGACUCCCCCUCGCCCCAACCAAGCCCCCCCUCCAAUUCCUUUGCUCUGUUGAUAGAACGAUCUCAAAAACUACUAACUGGUUGGCGUGCCAAGCUUCUAGACAGAGGCGAUCGACUUAUUCUCAUCUUCGCGGUCCCCGACUCCCUCCUUACCUACUUUAUGUAUGUCUUUCGUAUACCCAAGAAAACCCUCAAAAUCAUUGA